rnacentral:lncRNA from 1 species
GACCAUUUCUUCUAGUAUCAGUUUAUCUUAGAUUGUGUUGAUGUGCAAUUUAUACUCUUACAUUUUAAAAUUGUAAUGAUUGGAUUUUUCCAAGAUGCAAUAAUGACAUUCUCAAACAAAGUUGUUCCAUUCCUUACAAUUGUUGCAAUUGCCUCUUUGCCUUAUUUUUAUUCCUUUGGAUGUUCUUAUAUGAUUAUUCAAUGUUAAUCCUCUUCCAAGAAUAAUUCUUGGAUUUUUGGAUUUUUGUAAAAUGUAUCAUGAUAUUUCAUGUUCUUAAUCAUUGAUAGUACUUCAUAUUAGGUGUAAUUUUCUUCUUUUUGAGAUUCUUCAAAGAAUAACUUACUAUACAAGCAUUCAAAGUUAAGAAGCUAGACUUGGCACAUCACAACUUAAACAAAGGAAUCAUAACUCUUCAGCAAUGCUCUAAGCAUAAUUUAUACUACUAUGGCGUCUGUUACCGAGUCUCUUACAUUGGAAAGUUGAGCAAUUGAUUUCUUUACCCUCUUGAUGAAGUCUUCUAUUGUUGUGAAUUCCAUCAUUUUGAUAUUACUUAACUUAUUGCUAAGAUAUAGUGCUCUUGCUUCAUUGAUUGCUUCAAAUAUAUGCUUGAGGGUCUCCCAUGCUGCAUCUGCAUCUGGCUCUUCUGUAUUUGACACAUGAUGCAACUCGUUAUCACGUGUAUCAACUUGGCUUUUACUUGAAAUAAAACUACUUUUUACUAUAAGGCGUGUCAAUCGGAUGAUUUGUUCCAACAAUUGGCUUCUGAAAAUGUGCGCACAGUGAAUGAAGAGAGCGCUGCUGCACAUCAGAGACAUGCUACUGAGUCUAAUUGUUGCGAAAAUGCUGCGAAGUCUAUGGUUGUUGAUCUAAUUCGUUCUCCGCCAGGUGAAAGAAAUGUUCAUGGAUGUAGCGCUUGUCACGAUUGGAGCUGGAGCACGUGAGGUUAGUUACAUUCAAGUGCUAAUGGGAGAAUCUACAGAAAGCCAUGGUGGAUGGAUUUGCAGCACAUGGCCAUGGGGAGAGAGUGGCCAGUUUCAAGCAGGACUGUGAGAUGAGCGGCGCAAUCGGAUAGCAUGUGGCGAUGAAUAAAAAAACAACUGCAACAGUGAGAGUGUGUUGCAAGGGCAAGGAAUAAUACCACCACGUCUGCGGACGUGUGGAGAAGAGCACAUCGAUGCGAGACUGCCUUUGAAUGGUAGAGAGGUUGGGACAAUAUUAGAGGUCGUGUAGGAUUCAUUUCCGAUUCUGCGCAGUUUUGGUUCCGGGCAGUGGGUUUAAGUGAGAGUUCAGAGCAAAAGUAGGAUGAGAGAAUAGCAAGAUCCUGCAAACAAAAACACGCACAACAAGUAUUAAAAAAACUUUUAUCUAACACAAUCAUAUUUUAGAACACAAUAGUCUGACUAUUUAUUGUAGUCUACGAAUCAACAUAAUGAAUAAGAUUUGAGACACAUUUUAAUUUUCGAACUAUUACAAAUUCCAAAACAUACAUGUUUCACUUGAAUACCAAUUCAAUUUUUCAGUAUCUUUCUUUCUUUCUAUUUUUUUUUUUUUU